UAGGGAAUCUUCCACAAUGGACGCAAGUCUGAUGGAGCAACGCCGCGUGAGUGAAGAAGGUUUUCGGACCGUAAAGCUCUGUUGUUGGUGAAGAAGGAUAGAGGUAGUAACUGGCCUUUAUUUGACGGUAAUCAACCAGAAAGUCACGGCUAACUACGUUCCAGCAGCCGCGGUAAUACGUAGGUGGCAAGCGUUGUCCGGAUUUAUUGGGCGUAAAGCGAGCGCAGGCGGAAGAAUAAGUCUGAUGUGAAAGCCCUCGGCUUAACCGAGGAAUUGCAUCGGAAACUGUUUUCUUGAGUGCAGAAGAGGAGAGUAGAACUCCAUGUGUAGCGGUGGAAUGCGUAGAUAUAUGGAAGAAUACCAGUGGCGAAGGCGGCUCUCUGGUCUGCAACUGACGCUGAGGCUCGAAAGCAUGGGUAGCGAACAGGAUUAGAUACCCUGGUAGUCCAUGCCGUAAACGAUGAGUGCUAAGUGUUGGGAGGCUUCCGCCUCUCAGUGCUGCAGCUAACGCAUUAAGCACUCCGCCUGGGGGAGUACGACCGCAAGGUUGAAAC
rnacentral:rRNA from 1 species